rnacentral:rRNA from 1 species
GGUUAAGCGACUAAGCGUACACGGUGGAUGCCCUGGCAGUCAGAGGCGAUGAAGGACGUGCUAAUCUGCGAAAAGCGUCGGUAAGGUGAUAUGAACCGUUAUAACCGGCGAUGUCCGAAUGGGGAAACCCAGUGCAAUUCGUUGCACUAUCGUUAACUGAAUACAUAGGUUAACGAGGCGAACCGGGGGAACUGAAACAUCUAAGUACCCCGAGGAAAAGAAAUCAACCGAGAUUCCCCCAGUAGCGGCGAGCGAACGGGGAGCAGCCCAGAGUCUGAAUCAGCUUGUGUGUUAGUGGAACGGUCUGGAAAGUCCGACGGUACAGGGUGAUAGUCCCGUACACCAAAAUGCACAGGUUGUGAACUCGAAGAGUAGGGCGGGACACGUGGUAUCCUGUCUGAAUAUGGGGGGACCAUCCUCCAAGGCUAAAUACUCCUGACUGACCGAUAGUGAACCAGUACCGUGAGGGAAAGGCGAAAAGAACCCCGGCGAGGGGAGUGAAAAAGAACCUGAAACCGUGUACGUACAAGCAGUGGGAGCACCUUCGGGUGUGACUGCGUACCUUUUGUAUAAUGGGUCAGCGACUUAUAUUCUGUAGCAAGGUUAACCGUAUAGGGGAGCCGCAGGGAAACCGAGUCUUAACUGGGCGUUAAGUUGCAGGGUAUAGACCCGAAACCCGGUGAUCUAGCCAUGGGCAGGUUGAAGGUUGGGUAACACUAACUGGAGGACCGAACCGACUAAUGUUGAAAAAUUAGCGGAUGACUUGUGGCUGGGGGUGAAAGGCCAAUCAAACCGGGAGAUAGCUGGUUCUCCCCGAAAGCUAUUUAGGUAGCGCCUCGUGAACUCAUCUUCGGGGGUAGAGCACUGUUUCGGCUAGGGGGUCAUCCCGACUUACCAACCCGAUGCAAACUACGAAUACCGAAGAAUGUUAUCACGGGAGACACACGGCGGGUGCUAACGUCCGUCGUGAAGAGGGAAACAACCCAGACCGCCAGCUAAGGUCCCAAAGUCAUGGUUAAGUGGGAAACGAUGUGGGAAGGCACAGACAGCCAGGAUGUUGGCUUAGAAGCAGCCAUCAUUUAAAGAAAGCGUAAUAGCUCACUGGUCGAGUCGGCCUGCGCGGAAGAUGUAACGGGGCUAAACCAUGCACCGAAGCUGCGGCAGCGACACUAUGUGUUGUUGGGUAGGGGAGCGUUCUGUAAGCCUGCGAAGGUGACCUGUGAGGGUUGCUGGAGGUAUCAGAAGUGCGAAUGCUGACAUAAGUAACGAUAAAGCGGGUGAAAAGCCCGCUCGCCGGAAGACCAAGGGUUCCUGUCCAACGUUAAUCGGGGCAGGGUGAGUCGACCCCUAAGGCGAGGCCGAAAGGCGUAGUCGAUGGGAAACAGGUUAAUAUUCCUGUACUUGGUGUUACUGCGAAGGGGGGACGGAGAAGGCUAUGUUAGCCGGGCGACGGUUGUCCCGGUUUAAGCAUGUAGGCUGGUUGUCCAGGCAAAUCCGGAUAAUCAAGGCUGAGGUGUGAUGACGAGGCACUACGGUGCUGAAGUAACAAAUGCCCUGCUUCCAGGAAAAGCCUCUAAGCAUCAGGUAACAUUAAAUCGUACCCCAAACCGACACAGGUGGUCAGGUAGAGAAUACCAAGGCGCUUGAGAGAACUCGGGUGAAGGAACUAGGCAAAAUGGUGCCGUAACUUCGGGAGAAGGCACGCUGGUGUGUAGGUGAAGUCCCUGCGGAUGGAGCUGAGACCAGUCGAAGAUACCAGCUGGCUGCAACUGUUUAUUAAAAACACAGCACUGUGCAAACACGAAAGUGGACGUAUACGGUGUGACGCCUGCCCGGUGCCGGAAGGUUAAUUGAUGGGGUUAUCCGUAAGGAGAAGCUCUUGAUCGAAGCCCCGGUAAACGGCGGCCGUAACUAUAACGGUCCUAAGGUAGCGAAAUUCCUUGUCGGGUAAGUUCCGACCUGCACGAAUGGCGUAAUGAUGGCCAGGCUGUCUCCACCCGAGACUCAGUGAAAUUGAACUCGCUGUGAAGAUGCAGUGUACCCGCGGCAAGACGGAAAGACCCCGUGAACCUUUACUAUAGCUUGACACUGAACAUUGAGCCUUGAUGUGUAGGAUAGGUGGGAGGCUUUGAAGCGUGGACGCCAGUCUGCGUGGAGCCAACCUUGAAAUACCACCCUUUAAUGUUUGAUGUUCUAACGUUGGCCCCUGACCGGGGUUGCGGACAGUGUCUGGUGGGUAGUUUGACUGGGGCGGUCUCCUCCCAAAGCGUAACGGAGGAGCACGAAGGUUAGCUAAUCCUGGUCGGACAUCAGGAGGUUAGUGCAAUGGCAUAAGCUAGCUUGACUGCGAGCGUGACGGCGCGAGCAGGUGCGAAAGCAGGUCAUAGUGAUCCGGUGGUUCUGAAUGGAAGGGCCAUCGCUCAACGGAUAAAAGGUACUCCGGGGAUAACAGGCUGAUACCGCCCAAGAGUUCAUAUCGACGGCGGUGUUUGGCACCUCGAUGUCGGCUCAUCACAUCCUGGGGCUGAAGUAGGUCCCAAGGGUAUGGCUGUUCGCCAUUUAAAGUGGUACGCGAGCUGGGUUUAGAACGUCGUGAGACAGUUCGGUCCCUAUCUGCCGUGGGCGCUGGAGAAUUGAGGGGGGCUGCUCCUAGUACGAGAGGACCGGAGUGGACGCAUCACUGGUGUUCGGGUUGUCAUGCCAAUGGCACUGCCCGGUAGCUAAAUGCGGAAGAGAUAAGUGCUGAAAGCAUCUAAGCACGAAACUUGCCCCGAGAUGAGUUCUCCCUGAGACUUUAACCUAGAUUCUACGUCAGUACUUCAAAAAGCAUAAUCAA